GUGCUCACUUUGGAAGCACAUAUACUAAAAUUGAAACCAUACAGAGAAGAUUGGCAUGGUCACUGCUGCAAGGAUGACACACAAUUUCUUGCAGCAUUCUGUAUUUUU
ensembl:snRNA U6 U6 spliceosomal RNA